GGCUGUGAGGAUGAUCUGGCUGUGAUGCCAUGGUUGGAUUUGGCUGAUCUGGCUAGUUACCUGAGUAUCCCCUUCCUCCUUCACUGUUCCAUGGGUGCCCUUCCCGAAGUUGCAUGUUCGGUCAGGAGGACAUCCAACCCAGCGUGUUGUUCCUCAGUCUGGGUACACGACAGCUAUGCUGCCCUAUUGGAACUUCCAGACAAGCUCCAAGUAGUGACAGCUCCAUCAUCAAGGUUGGUGAAACCUUGUACUGAUCAACAGUCUCAUUCAUUUCCACCCAUAAGGGAAUUUGAAAUUAUCAGAGUACUGAAAAU
rnacentral:snRNA from 1 species